GGAAACAACAGUAAGCAGGAACCCUAUUCUGUUUCUAUCUUCUCUCUCUCUGUUUCCACUGUCAGUAGCCGUUGUUGCUUCCCGCUCCACGGCACAGCUGCUCAUUUCAAACGCCAUUUUUGAAGGCCGCUAAGGUUCUCAUAUAUCUUCACUUAUCUUAGCUUGGUACUUGGCACAUUACAUUUCUGUGAAAAUGAAGAAGAUGAUAGCCCUCGGUUUUGAAGGAUCGGCCAACAAGAUUGGUGUUGGCGUUGUGACAUUAGACGGCACCAUUUUGUCGAACCCGCGUCACACCUACAUUACGCCGCCUGGCCAAGGUUUCCUUCCACGGGAAACUGCCCAGCACCAUCUCCAGCAUGUUCUCCCACUGGUUAAAUCGGCUUUAAAAGAGGCCCAGAUAACCCCUGAUGACAUCGACUGCCUUUGUUACACCAAGGGUCCUGGUAUGGGUGCACCGUUACAAGUGUCCGCCAUUGUUGUUAGGGUUCUUUCGCUGCUGUGGAAGAAGCCAAUUGUUGCGGUUAACCACUGUGUUGCACAUAUUGAGAUGGGAAGGAUCGUUACCGGAGCAGACGAUCCCGUUGUGUUGUAUGUUAGUGGUGGGAAUACUCAGGUUAUUGCCUAUAGUGAAGGGCGGUACAGAAUAUUUGGAGAGACUAUUGAUAUUGCUGUUGGGAAUUGCUUGGAUCGGUUCGCUCGAGUUUUGACCCUCUCAAAUGAUCCAAGCCCUGGAUAUAACAUCGAGCAGCUAGCAAAGAAAGGCGAAAAGUUUAUUGAUCUUCCGUAUGUCGUCAAAGGGAUGGAUGUUUCCUUUAGUGGAAUAUUGAGCUACAUUGAAGCCACUGCAGAGGAGAAGCUCAAAAAUAAUGAAUGCACCCCUGCGGAUUUAUGCUAUUCGCUUCAGGAAACUCUAUUUGCAAUGCUUGUGGAGAUUACGGAACGAGCAAUGGCUCAUUGCGACUCGAAAGAUGUUCUCAUAGUUGGUGGUGUGGGCUGCAACGAGCGGUUACAAGAGAUGAUGCGGACAAUGUGUUCCGAACGAGGUGGAAGACUGUUUGCUACUGAUGACAGGUACUGCAUUGACAAUGGAGCAAUGAUUGCGUAUACGGGUCUCCUUGCCUAUGCUCAUGGAUCCACAACACCACUCGAGGAGUCGACAUUCACUCAGCGGUUCCGGACCGAUGAGGUGCAUGCAAUCUGGAGGGAGAAACAGGAGUCUGGCGACUCGAGUGGUCCUGCAGAUGGGGGAAAUUAGAUGCUAGUUUAUUAAGGUUUCAAUGAUUGUUGCAUGUCCCAGAUACGGGAUCUUGUAGUAGACUUUACCAGGAAAGGUUAAAGAACAAACUUUACUUUGUAUUAUGAAUUUGUCUGAAUUACUUCUUAUUUGGAAACUUAGAAUUUCA